rnacentral:rRNA from 1 species
UGAGUAACACGUAUCCAACCUGCCGUCUACUCUUGGACAGCCUUCUGAAAGGAAGAUUAAUACAAGAUGGCAUCAUGAGUCCACAUGUUCACAUGAUUAAAGGUAUUCCGGUAGACGAUGGGGAUGCGUUUCAUUAGAUAGUAGGCGGGGUAACGGCCCACCUAGUCUUCGAUGGAUAGGGGUUCUGAGAGGAAGGUCCCCCACAUUGGAACUGAGACACGGUCCAA